rnacentral:rRNA from 1 species
UUCCGGUUGAUCCUGCCGGAGGCCAUUGCUAUUGGAGUCCGAUUUAGCCAUGCUAGUCGCGCGGGUUAGACCCGCGGCAUAUAGCUCAGUAACACGUGGCCAAACUACCCUAUGGACGGGGACAACCUCGGGAAACUGAGGCUAAUCCCCGAUACAGCUCUCACGCUGGAGUGCCGAGAGCUGGAAACGUCCUGGCGCCAUAGGAUGUGGCUGCGGCCGAUUAGGUAGAUGGUGGGGUAACGGCCCACCAUGCCAAUAAUCGGUACGGGUUGUGAGAGCAAGAGCCCGGAGACGGUAUCUGAGACAAGAUACCGGGCCCUACGGGGCGCAGCAGGCGCGAAACCUUUACACUGCACGACAGUGCGAUAAGGGGACUCCAAGUGCGAGGGCAUAUAGUCCUCGCUUUUCUGUACCGUAGGGAGGUACAGGAACAAGUGCUGGGCAAGACCGGUGCCAGCCGCCGCGGU